GAUGAACGCUGGCGGCGUGCCUAGUACAUGCAAGUCGAGCGAACGGACGAGAAGCUUGCUUCUCUGAUGUUAGCGGCGGACGGGUGAGUAACACGUGGAUAACCUACCUAUAAGACUGGGAUAACUUCGGGAAACCGGAGCUAAUACCGGAUAAUAUUUUGAACCGCAUGGUUCAAAAGUGAAAGACGGUCUUGCUGUCACUUAUAGAUGGAUCCGCGCUGCAUUAGCUAGUUGGUAAGGUAACGGCUUACCAAGGCAACGAUGCAUAGCCGACCUGAGAGGGUGAUCGGCCACACUGGAACUGAGACACGGUCCAGACUCCUACGGGAGGCAGCAGUAGGGAAUCUUCCGCAAUGGGCGAAAGCCUGACGGAGCAACGCCGCGUGAGUGAUGAAGGUCUUCUGAUCGUAAAACUCUGUUAUUAGGGAAGAACAUAUGUGUAAGUAACUGUGCACAUCUUGACGGUACCUAAUCAGAAAGCCACGGCUAACUACGUG
rnacentral:rRNA from 1 species